CAGCAGCCACGGUAAUACGAAGGGGGCUAGCGUUGUUCGGAUUUACUGGGCGUAAAGCGCACGUAGGCGGACUUUUAAGUCAGGGGUGAAAUCCCGGGGCUCAACCCCGGAACUGCCUUUGAUACUGGAAGUCUUGAGUAUGGUAGAGGUGAGUGGAAUUCCGAGUGUAGAGGUGAAAUUCGUAGAUAUUCGGAGGAACACCAGUGGCGAAGGCGGCUCACUGGACCAUUACUGACGCUGAGGUGCGAAAGCGUGGGGAGCAAACAGGAUUAGAUACCCCUGUAGUCCCUGUCUCUUAUAC
rnacentral:rRNA from 1 species